UACGGAGGAUCCAAGCGUUAUCCGGAUUUAUUGGGUUUAAAGGGUGCGUAGGCGGCCUAUUAAGUCAGGGGUGAAAGACGGUAGCUCAACUAUCGCAGUGCCCUUGAUACUGAUGGGCUUGAAUGGACUAGAGGUAGGCGGAAUGAGACAAGUAGCGGUGAAAUGCAUAGAUAUGUUUCAGAACACCGAUUGCGAAGGCAGCUUACUAUGGUCUUAUUGACGCUGAGGCACGGAAGCGUGGGGAUCAAACAGG
rnacentral:rRNA from 1 species